UGCAUCGGCCGGGUAUCGAACCCGGGCCGCCCGCAUGGCAGGCGAGCAUUCUACCACUGAACCACCGAUGG
rnacentral:tRNA from 1 species